CUUAACGCUCGGUGCUGAAGUCUGUGGGAUCGAGAAAGGCUUCUCAUCUCGUAUAUCGGAGAGCCGGGGAUCUGGAUUACUGUGUCCGGGCUGAAGAUAUCACUUUCCUAUUGUUAGACCUGCAGUGAGUGAUUUAUUGGAAGAAAAACCCCAACUGGAGGAAAACCACGACUGAUGACGAGGGAGCAGCAACAAGUGAACCAACCCGAGGACUGAGAGCAUCAACUGGAGAGAACCCAACUGACUCGGAGAUUCCAGUGAUUCAGUCAGGAGAAAUUUUGGCUAAAAACAAGGAAUUUAUCUACGGGAAUUUCGAACACAACAUGCCAAUUUUGCUGUCUCUGUCCAGAUAUUUAAGAAGUGGAGCAAGGGAUUCACUCGAUCAUCCUUCCUGCUCAGGCUGUGGGGAGGGAUUCACUUGGUCAUCUGACCGACUGGCAAAGCGGAAAUUUUACACGGGGAGAGGCCGUUCAUUUGCUCAGACU